CCACACAAAAGGAAGUGCUAUCAUGCAGCUUUUUCCCAUAUUGCGUGUUAUUUAAAUGUGGAAUCUGUCCCUCUGUGUUCUUUGCAGGAUGUUGUUUCUCAUAGCAAAAAUCUUAGCAAGGAGAACAAGGAACAGCUCUGUGACGUGAUGACGCUGAACGAGCAAAAGGGAGGUUUGAAAGCUUGGAGCAAAGAGGAGAGGGAAAAGCUGGAAGCCUAUCAGCAUCUUUUCUACUUGAGUGUUGAGGCGCUGUCUGUCUUUGUGGUGUUGGCUUUUGUGGACACGUGCUGUAUGGGAACUGCUGAGUCAUGGCCUGAACCUCUGAUUGAUCACCUGAGGCGAGCAGUGAGUCAGGCAGAGGAGCACAGGUGAAGGCAAUGCAGCUGUGCUGCUGGAAGGGGUGCAGCCAGGCUACAGCCCUCCUAGACCUGUUUAAGAGCUGGCUACCAGUGGGGAAGGAUCUCGUCUGGAGAUCUGCUCUGCUGGAGUUUUACUACUCCAACGUACUUGGCCAAGCUGCUUUUGCAGAUGCCUCAAAACAAACCCACAGAGUUCAUGGAUUCAGCCAUCUUCACGCUGCAUAACUACGCAUCCAGUCAGAGAGAGGAAUCUCUGCUGUUGCGGCUGUUGCAAACAGCAUUGCAGGAAGAGAUCAAAUGCGCUCUUUCAACCGUGGUGCCCGUGGUGAGAACGCACUGAGGCAGAUCUUGGCCCCAGUUGUGAAGGAAAUAAAUGAGGACGAAUCGCUCAACGUCAGAACGGAUCCAGUGGAUAUUUACAAGUGCUGGGUGAACCAGAUGGGAUCUCAGAAUGGUGAGGCCGGGCACUUCAAGGGAAGUGGUGGAAAAGCAAUGCUAUGAAGUAAAAGACAACUGUCCCAGCGCAGCACGCUGCCAAGUUGCCGUACGAUGUUGCACCUGAACAAGCUCUUAAUCACGGUGAGGUGAGGACGCACCUGGAUGCCUCAAUCCGAGAUGUGAAGGCAGUGACAGACAAGUUCCUGUCUGCCAUCGUUGUUCAGCUGACCAAAUCCCUUACGGGAUGCGUUUCAUCGCCAAGGUACUGAAAGACUCCCGGCAUGACAAGUUUCCUGAUGCUGGCGAGGAUGAGCUUCUGAAGAUUGUUGGCAACUUACUCUAUCACCGCUACGUGAAUCCAGCCAUGGUGGCACCGGAUGCAUUUGACCUAAUGGAUCUUUCAGCUGGAGGGCAGCUGACUGCAGAUCAAUGAAGAAAUCUUGGCUCUGUUGCAAAGAUGCUGCAGCAUGCUGCGUCCAGCAAGAUGCUCAUGGGAGACAGUGCACAUCUGAGCAUCGUGAAGGAAUACUUGUCACAGUCAUCCCAGAAAUUCAGGUAGAAGACUUGAGCUGAUUGUGUUGAGGAGUUUGUCAGAGGACAGUGUUGCAAACAAAGAGGAGCGGUGAAUUUUAAAUGUAAUAAAUUCCAUCUCUGUCAAAAAGGAGGUCUGUUGAAAAUGAGAGAUUGCCCUUUGGGCUUCCACAAUCAUUGAUCAUAAUGACAUAUAAAAUACGUAGCUGGAAUUGACAAACUAGAUAUAGUAUAUUAAUGAGCUGGUCCAAACAAUUGGCUUUGCCAUACAAGCCUCCAGAGUAAAGGCUGUUUUUCUAUGUGUUUAUUAUGAUAUUCUGGCCAUUGAAAACUAGAGUGUGCUUGCGUUCUUUCCUAUAUGCACCCUAGUUCUCUGUAUGCAAACUAGAUGGCACUUUGGAUUAAAGCAGGCUGGAAUUUAGUUGUUUGUAUAAUCAAGUAACUUUUGAAUGAAGAGCUUCUUUAUAUCUUUCAUCUUUUGUAAGAAAGAAAACUGGAAAUGGCUGGGAGUGAGGAUUAUUCUUGCAGCUGAGACAGAAGGAUGGGUGCACAAGGUCAUUCGGUCCACAGACUUGUCCUGCAGAUGCUUACAGUGAGCGAAUGCCGACAUGGCCAGUACCAAUAACUGAAUCUUCUAGAUGGCUUUUGAUGUGAUAAGCUAUAGCUUGUCCAAUUGCAGUAUGCUUGGGAACCAUGGUUUAAAGAAGAACAGCUGCUGGUAUGCUGAUUACCUUUUUCUCCUUUUUCUUUUCUUUUUUUUUUUUUUUUUUAAGACUCUUUUUUCACAAGGUUGCUUGUGAGGUUCCUGAAUUGCAGGAUCAAUUCAGUAUUGAUGAAUAUUCUGGCUUCCUUCCUUGUCUAUCCCUUCUGCAGAGCUUAUAGCCAUCAAUCUCAACGCGCCAGUCAUGGGAGCAGUCCCACCAUGUUUCAGUAACAGCAGCUAGAUCGUAGUUAGCCUGGUGCACAAUGGCUUCCAGUUCCUCCUGCUUGUUGCUCAUGCUGCGUGCAUUGGUAUAGGUGCACUUGAGCCGAGUCAUUUGCCUGACUCCCAGCUCUAAAAUCGUUCCGCCAGGCUCUUCUCUUGUGAGGCCUGUACUGUCCCCUUCCCCCGUCAUAAUUAGUUGAUUGCACAGGAAGAAAAGCUUGAUGUCUGUGCCAAGGGAGACGUACACCGCACUUGCGCUGCCUGGAUGAUGUGGAAACUGGAAAUUGUGGGGUGUGCUGAAGCAUGCCCUCUCAGCUUUCGCUCGUGGAAGCACAGAGCAAAGUGACAAGAAACAGCUGCGAGUUCAAGGAAUUGUCUACCUUGUUCUGAUCUCCUGCCAGGUACGUGCCACGCUUUGUCCCCCCACGUGGUUGACCAGCACUGUGUCGCACCAUGUUUGGUAACACAGCCUCACCCAGCUU